rnacentral:rRNA from 1 species
GAUGAACGCUAGCGAUAGGCCUAACACAUGCAAGUCGAGGGGCAUCACAUGAAGUAGCAAUACGGAUGGUGGCGACCGGCGCACGGGUGAGUAACACGUAUGCAACCUGCCUUCAACAAGGGGAUAACCCGUUGAAAGACGGACUAAUACCCUAUAACACAGGGGUCCCGCAUGGGGAUAUUUGUUAAAGGACAACCGGUUGAAGAUGGGCAUGCGUUCCAUUAGCUAGUUGGCGGGGUAAGGGCCCACCAAGGCAACGAUGGAUAGGGGAACUGAGAGGUUUAUCCCCCACACUGGUACUGAGACACGGACCAGACUCCUACGGGAGGCAGCAGUGAGGAAUAUUGGUCAAUGGACGCAAGUCUGAACCAGCCACGUCGCGUGAAGGAAGACGGCCCUACGGGUUGUAAACUUCUUUUGCAAGGGAUAAAGUGGGCCACGUGUGGCCUUUUGCAAGUACCUUGCGAAUAAGGAUCGGCUAACUCCGUG